GGCUUAAGGAGUGCGUGUAUUUAGUCGGCCCUGAUUGGUCUGAUUCACGACGGCGUCUGGGAUCACACAUAGCCUCGUGCCGAGCCAUAAUCUAUUCUAUUUGACAUUUGCGGAUCUCUUCUCUUGUCGAACCUACUCCGGAGAUUUAACGAACUGGUCAACAGCAGUUAGAUAGGAGAAAGAUGAUUGCCUCGAUUGAUUUGAUCCAUCCAACUGUCUGCAAACAUGGAUCUCUGAUGCAGCAGUGCAGUUGGGAGAUUCUUACGGGUGCCAAGUUUGCAGAAAAUUUGGCGAUUACCCAGCCAUGGUUGCACAUGUUCAAACACAUGACAGAGCAGCCAUAUCUCACAAUGGCUACAAAAUAGAGAGGUGCCAACACAACUGUGCCAACACAAGAUCUCCACACUACCACUGUGUGUGCUCAACCAUUACUGGCAGCAAAAUUUCAUGCAUAAAGCACCUGCAGACCUGCCCUGGCAUGAGGACACCACCUCCAUCUCAAGGCCUCAGCACGCCGAGCCCAAUGCCAGCCACGCACCCGCCACCUCCAUCUCAAGGCCUCAGCAAGCCGAGCCCAAUGCCAGCCACCACCCGCCACCUCCAUCUCAAGGCCUCAGCACGCCGAGCCCAAUGCCAGCCACGCACCCGCCACCUCC
ensembl:lncRNA